ACCAUCUUGAGGAAUCUGGGCUGUUCCAGGAGGUCACAGACAUGGACACACACACAGCCUCCCUCGGGCCGGGAGGAAGGCCAGGGGCUCCCAGCCCGAGCCUCCCCUCUCCAGCCUGGAGCGGGUGCCGAGCCCUGGCCGCUGCCCGGGCUGAACUCUGCAGACGAGUGGAGCCACGGUACAGUGAGGCCGGGGGCAGGAGGGGCCUGCGGUGGCUCCUGAGCAGAGGGGCCUCUUCUUCUCCUUCUCUCUCUCCUCCUUCAGGGACCCUGUCCUCAAAUUCCACUUGCCCUCCCAGCCUCGCCCUCGGCUGCCUUCCGAGCUCACCAAGAAAGCGGAGCCCCACUCCCAGCUCCCAGUUUUGGGGACUGACUGGAGUCCAAGGUCAAGGUUCUGACGAUGUGGUUGCUGGUGAGGGCUCUCUUCCUGGCCUGCAGACGGCCACCUCCCACUGUCCUCACAUGGCUGGGCUCGCUGGCUGGCUGGCUCUUUGGUGGCUCAUCUUUUAAGGACACUGGCCCUAUUAGAUAAGGACCCCACUUUUAUGAGCUUGUUGGACCUUGAUUACUCUUUCAUGGCCCCGUCUCCAAAUAUGGUCACACUGGAGGCGAGGGCUUCGUCAUAUGAGUUGGGAGGGGGAACAGUUAGGUCCACAGUACAGUUCUAGUCAAGAUCUCUGCUGAGCUCAUGUCACCAGGCCCGAGGUCAGUCACAGACCUGCCUUGCUGGACCUGUGGGCACUGAAAAAGAGCCGUCCACCUUCUCCUUGAAAUUUGGCCUGCGCUUGGCUUCUGAGGCUCUGCCCCCAGCCUUAGGCUCCCGCAGAGCUGACCUUGCUCCUCUUGGCCGUCUCCCCCUGCCCGGCCCUCAGCUCUGACCUCUUGGUCCCAUCAGGCCCAUGGCUGCCAGCUCCCUGUAGCUGAUGCUCGGUAGCCACACCUCACCUCCGACUCCUGCGCCAGCCCACCUGGCCAGCUGCCCGCUCCCUCGGGGGCCCGAGGACAGACUCCCGGCUCCUCCUCCCUCCCUAACCAGAAGGGUGACAGCUCCAUUUGCCAGAGAUCAGGACAAAGUCCUCACCACCCCCAACUCCUUCAUGCCUCAGGUUCUGCAUGGGAGAAAUCCUUUUGCUCUGUCUUCAGAGCAUCAGAAACCCAACCCCUCCCGCCCACUUCCUGGGUGACUGCAGGCGCCUCUGAAGGUCUCCUGGCUUCUGCCCCGUGGUCAGUGGGAUAAGUCCCCUCCCCACUUCAUCCUGUGGAAAUGUCGCCUCCACCUCAUGAGGCCAAAGAGGCCUUGCAGCUGGGAAGCGAAGGCGGUCCUGGUGGCAGUGACCCUAGGCUGUCCUGGGGUCAGAGGUAGAAGGUGCGCACUGACGGAAGCAGGAGGAGGUGCGGGCCAGGAGCCAAAGGAGGAGGAAGCUUCCAGAAGCUAGUGAGGAAAAGGAUUCUCUCCUGGAACCUGCAGAAAGCGCAACACGAACAGACCUUGAUUUUAGACUUCUGAAUCUGUGUGGUUUCAAGCCAGUAAGUUGGUGGAGAUUUCUUACAGCAGCCAGAGGAGACGCACACCUUGAACGUGGCCCUUGCAGCCCUGUGGGUCUGGCCCAUGGAGCCCCUGGCCUCUGCUCGCUUCUUCAGCCUUUACUACCCACAGUCCCCUCCUGCCCCUGGGCCUUUGCUCCUCCUGUUCCUGCUUCCUGGGGUACCCCUCCCCCACAGAUCUACCUGACUCACUGGGGCCACAUGCCACCUCUAGAUGGAGGCUCCCCUAACCUGGGUGGCAGCUGGGCCACUCCCUGUGCCCCCACCUUGCUUGUCUUUCCCCGGCAUGUUAUCCCCAUGUGGGAGGGGUCUGUCCCGCAGCGCGGUCCCCACAGUGUCCAGAGCGCUGUGUGCGCAGUAGAAGGCUGUUGGACGAGGGACUGAGUGAACAUGGGGGUGAGUUUUGCAGAGGGGACCGUGACCUGGGAAGGGGACUGGCUGGCUGGGGUCAGGUCAGCGCUGCUCCUAGAGAGGCCCGUCUCCCAUCCCAACACCCCGGGGACUGCGAGGUCCAGGGUCUCAGUCCCGUUUUCCCGGGUGACUCCUCAGGGAGGCCUCUUGUCCUCUGGGCUUCUGCUUCUCGUCAGUGCAUGGAUGGCUGCGUGAAUGAGCGGUGGCCUUAGCUGGGGAGGCCUGGCAGGCCAGGGGACCAGGCGAGGACAGGAUGGGAGGGAGCCGGGUGAGAGGCAGACAGGGCCUCUGGAACACCCAGUCUGGCUCCCAGCAAGAGCCUGGGGCUGACAGGGAAGGGGACUCGGCCCAGCCCUGCGAGGGCAGGAACAGGGAGGGCCCUCUGUGGGCCAGCGAGGGGCGGAGACGCUGGGCCGAGGUGCUGGUGGGCAUGAGGGUGGCGAAUGGAGCUUUGAGAUGUGGUGUGGGUAGAACGGAGGACUUCCUGAGAAGCGGGACUCAGGGUGGAUUAAGGCAGGACACGGGUUUGGGAGAGUCGAGGACGGGGAGUUCGGGGACAGUACUUCCCGGCAUUUCUCAGACACCUUCUACAGGUGAGCGAAAGAGCGAGCCCAGGUGCCUGGAAAGAUCUUGGGCUCCAGGGCCGCAGUGGUGACCCUGGGCCCAGGGUCUAUCUCAUUUUCUCUUUUUCUGAGUUGGCACUAUUCUCAGGCAGCACCCUGCCCCCAUGCCAAAUGGCCCCCGGCAGCCCCCAGAUGGUAUCUCUUAGAACACCAAAUCUAGCAGAGAGAGGCCUUUCCCCCAUAACUAAAGUCCGGGGGGGUCUUUUACUGACCUUGCCCAAACCUGCAGCAGUCACUGGAACUGGAGGCUAUCCAAGCCAGGCCCUGUCCAUCCCUGAGCCCUGCGGGUGGUUCUUCUGCGGGAGUCGGGCAUUGGAGGGAAGGGCGCCAGGCGGGCUGAUGGGCACAGAUGCCAAGGCAAAGGCCUGGCCUGCAGGAGGCAGGAAGGCUGCUGCAGGCCCAGCCUGACCUCUGAGGUUGAAGUCCAGGGGGGAAGAGCGAGAGCUUUCCUUGUAGCGCCCAAUCCACUGCAGGAUGCUGCCUGGCCAAGCCUGGGUCACGGGCUCCAGUCUCAACCCGCUUCCAGGCAACAUGGGGCGAGUUGGGAAGGGUGAAUUCCAAACCAAAAGCAGCUGUUCCAAGAGGAGGUCUGCAUACUGAGGACACAGGAGACUGUACUAAGAGGAUCCUCUGACUACAAGUGAGGAGAGAGGCUUGGCUGGCCUCUGGCAGGGAGCAACAGAACCAGGCCCAGGCCGGACUCGGGGUGUGUCUCAGAGGCUGCUGUCUCAGGACCAUCCCCAGGUAGCAGCCUACCCUGCUGCCUGCCUCCUGAUGCCCGGGGGAGGGGGACGUGCCCAAAGCAGGCCUCAGGCACAGACGACUCUCCACCCCAGGAACUAAGUCACAACCCGACCUCCAGUCUAACAGCUUUUAUGAAAGACAUGAGCCAUGGGUCCAUUUAAAAAUCAUUUUUUUUUUAUUAACAUCAUCUUCCCAUUUAGCCAAGUGUCUGCCAUGUAUAAGGAAUGUCGGUAAAUAUUCCAUUUGAAGCUUCUUUGUACAUAUUUCCAUCGAUAAAUAAACUCUGAAUUCACAUAAAAAAGUUAAACUUAAAUAACUCAUAUUUCCUUCUCUUGUAACAGGCAUAUAUU